rnacentral:rRNA from 1 species
AGUGGCUAAAAGCCCGAAGAGAUAAGUGCUGAGCUGGGUUUAGAACGUCGUGAGACAGUUCGGUCCCUAUCUGCCGUGGGCGCUGGAGAACUGAGGGGGGGCUGCUCCUAGUACGAGAGGACCGGAGCGGACGCAUCACUGGUGUUCGGGUUGUCAUGCCAAUGGCACUGCCCGGUAGCUAAAUGCGGAAGAGAUAAGUGCUGAAAGCAUCUAAGCACGAAA